rnacentral:rRNA from 1 species
CCUACGGGAGGCAGCAGUAAGGAAUAUUGGUCAAUGGACGCAAGUCUGAACCAGCCAUGCCGCGUGAAGGAUUAAGGCCCUCUGGGUUGUAAACUUCUUUUAUAGGGGACGAAAAAAGGGCAUUCUUGCUCACUUGACGGUACCCUAGGAAUAAGCACCGGCUAACUCCGUGCCAGCAGCCGCGGUAAUACGGAGGGUGCAAGCGUUAUCCGGAUUUACUGGGUUUAAAGGGUGCGUAGGUGGGUUGGUAAGUCAGUGGUGAAAUCUUCGAGCUUAACUCGGAAACUGCCAUUGAUACUAUCAAUCUUGAAUCAUCUAGAGGUAAGCGGAAUAUGUCAUGUAGCGGUGAAAUGCUUAGAUAUGACAUAGAACACCAAUUGCGAAGGCAGCUUACUAUGGAUGUAUUGACACUGAGGCACGAAAGCGUGGGGAUCAAACAGGAUUAGAUACCCUGGUAGUCCACGCCCUAAACGAUGGAUACUCGACAUUUGUGAUAUACUAUAAGUGUCUGAGCGAAAGCAUUAAGUAUCCCACCUGGAAGUACGACCGCAAGGUUGAAACUCAAAGUGAUAGAGNGNGAGAGNGCGACGACGACGACGAGGGAGGAGG